AAAGCCCGGGCAUGCUAGUCAUUUCCUCACUCCGCCCCUUGUACGCCGCCCCGAAGGUUUGUCUCUGGGCGGUAAACAAACACACACACACGAAAUCUUGACACCACUGAGGCCAUCUAAAAGUCAAAAACAGACGAAAACGUCAAAAUCCUAAAAAGCUGAGAAGGCUUGGGGGGUGGGUUUGCAGGUGCUUUGGAAGAAGUGUCCGCGCAGGGGGGUGCUGUGAGGAUUUCCCUGCAGGGGAUGGGACCGCCGUGCAGUGGGAGAGCAGAAGGCCCCGGCUUCGCUCCCCGGCAGCAGCCUCUCCAGGUGGGCGGUCUGGCUGUUGAAGUGGUGCUGGGUGAGCCUCUAAUUGCCUUUUGUGACCCGCCAUGAAGAUGAUCUAUUGUCUGAGACUGGCCUGACCUGCUUAAGAAAUAAGCUGUUUUUAAAAAAAUAAUAUUUACAUACUACUUCUUGGCCAAAAGUUGAAAGACGUUUACAUAGCAAAAGGAAUGAGAAGAUAGUUCCUGGUGCCAGAGGGGCUCACGGCCCAUAAAAGAAACAACAGGCACAGCCAAUGGAGACAGGCUCUGCUGGGCUGAAUAUUUUAUUUUAUUUUAUUUUAUUUUUAUUUAGCAUAUUUGUAUACCGCCCACUACCCAAGUCUCUAGGCAGUUUACAACAUUACAACCAACCAAGAACAUUUUAAACCAACUUAAAACAUAUUAAAAGUUCAAAUUAAAAUACCCAUAAAACUGCCAAAUAGCUAAAAAGCUUGCCUUGCUCGGGCCCGGUUAAAUGUGUUGCCCUCUUCUCUUUUGGAAUGGAGGUUUGCUAAAGAUCAUCCUGUUACGGUUUUUUGCCCUUGUGGUGCUGACCUCCUGGAAACUGUCACCCAUGUUUUGCUAUAUUGUUCUUUGUAUUGGGAUGCCAGAGAAGAACUUAUCUCCCCUCUGUUACUCACAUUUCCUGGAAGGUGUGAGCUCUUUUAUACAUAUUAUUGUCUCGUGGAUUUAAGCUCUGAGAUUACAAAAACUGUAGCCAAAUUUUUCUAUAUUGCCAGUAGGUUAAGGUCCCAACUAAGCACUUAACUGCGAGAGCUGUCUACUGUUUUUAAGUAAUUUAUUAUGAGUGAUUGUAUUUUGUUUUACUGUGUUUUAGCAUUGUUUACCGAUUCUUGUAUUGGACAUAUUUGUUACUUCUGUUUUUGCUGGCUAGUGGUUGUAAAUUGAUGAUGAUGAUAAAAAGCUUGGCUGAAGAGAUGUGUCUUCAGUUGUUUCCUAAAGGUCAACAGGGAUGGAGCAGCCCCAAUGCCAGCAGGAGGUGCACCCCACAGCCCUGGGGCAAGGACAGAGAAGGUUCGCCUCUGAGUUAUCACCAGAUGAGCCGGUGGCACCCUCAGACGAACCUCCUCCUGGAAGAUCUUAAUAGGCAGCGGAAUUCCUAACGAAGAAGGCAGUCUCUUAAAUAGGGACAGUUGCUCUCUCCCUGCUAAAUAUAAGAGAGCCCCCACUUUCAAAGGGGCCUCUUUGCACAGUUAGCAGAGUUAUCUCUUAAGGAAGCCAGUCAGUGGUGUGUUUAAAUCUUUCCUUUCUUUCCAAAACUUUGUCUACAGUUAAUGUUCAUCUUGGAACUCUUUAUGUUGAAGUUGGAUUGUUUUUAAUUUUCAUCAAGGACUCUGCGUUGGAUAAAAGAACGGGGAAUUGAUUAAAUACACAAAUCUCCCAUCCCGUUGCUCCCUUUCCCAACGUUUCCCCCAUUUUUUUAAAGUCCAAGGGCCACCAGGUGGCACCAGAGUCAGACCAGCCUUGCUGCAUUUUAAUCCUUUUGUGUUCUGGUGGACUUCUGAGCUACCACUUGUGCAUUUUGUAAUAAAUGGUCACAUU